UUCCUUUUGACACUAUCUACUCCAGCCUCCUUCAGAGUGUAUGGAGAGGACUGCCAGAACACAGAAGAGGAUGGAGUAGCAAAAUGGAAGAAGCCGGGAUUUCUGAAAGUUUGUGGAGCAGAACUUCUAGUUCCACCCCUUUGUCACCACUAGCCCACACCGGAUUAUGAUGAGACCAAAAAGCCAUCUCAAUGGCCCGGGCGAGCUGAAGGCAACUUGACUGUAGAGAAUGAACUACCAUAAAGGAGAGUCUACUGAAUGUGAUACUGUACCCAAAGAGCAGUCACUGGCAAAUAGAAAAGAUGUGGGGAUCAUAAAUCCAAAUUCCCAAGCAGUUUCCAAGUUAUAUUUGUCUUCAAAGAGCAGAAUAUUUGGCAUGGGGAAACACUUCCUUUAGUUUUCAGAAUUGCAGUUUUCUCGCAAUGCAAAUAAUGAAGAAUAAAAAGAACUAAUAAUGCUUUGGAUAAGUCAAGGGUGAUGGAAAUGGACAGCUGCUUGCUGGGAGGAAGGUGAAGAUGUAGAUAAUAUGCAUUCCUUCCCAACCACUGGAGGAGGCUUCCACAACAGGACCAAAAGACCCCUUCAGUCCUCUGCUCCUCUGAUGGCUUCUCAAUGAUGUUUGCGCAUUUUUUCCCUGCUUGGUAAUUAGCUCCAGCUGCCUCAACUUAAAAGGAAGGAAUCCCUUUGAAAUCCUCCCUAUCCUCCAUGAAAUGUGCUACUGAAACAUGCUAAUUAGUAACUGGACUUAGGACAGCACAGCCAUGUGUUUCCUGUGAAUACUGCUGAAGGAAGAGGAGGAAGAAUCUGUUUAGUUGCAUAUGUGUGUGUUCGCUUUUCAAAUUUUCAAAAUGACAUUUUUAAUGAAAAUCUAUCUGUUCAAGUAUGAUCAAGUAUGAUCCCCUCACCCGUCACUACAGUAUCAGGAAUUGUAGGGCUCCAGGGAAAUAAAAAAGGACUCUCUUGCCUGUUGCAGAGUAAGCUGAUAUUCAAGUGGGUCUGUAACAAUUAGUACAUCCUGGAAUCUGAAGAGACAGUACAGAAGCAUAAUGCAGCAUUGCUUUAAAUGUAUUAGCUAAAAGUGGAGAAGCCAUUGGUUUCCCAAUGUAAACUGUAAUUACGUGAAAAUCUGUGUUUUCGCAAAUAAUUUUGAGCAGCAGUUUCCAGGGUUUCAAACUUACUGACAAUCAUUGCUGGAGGGCAGGAACUGCUCAUAACAUGGAAAGGAAGCUGGUUGAUUUAUGAAAGCACUUGAGGAUUUAUUGACAGGACGAAAGGAGCUCAUAGAAAACUAGAGUUCCAUGCAUGGGGAAAGGGUGGGC
rnacentral:lncRNA from 1 species